rnacentral:lncRNA from 1 species
CUACUGAAUGUAUAGUAAGAGUUUGACCAUUUCCUACAUAGACUUUAUGGAACCUUACAUAAAGACUUUUUGUUAUAUAAAUGAAAUUCAUAAGGGGUUAAGUGGUGGGAAGCACUUGAGUCGGCGAACCAAGAUUGAGACUCUAACUAUGAAGGUAGAGAAUAUUACUGAGUGUAAGCAGAGGGUCGAUUUGUGGUAGCCAUUA